CAGCUUCAGAAGACAAAGGAACUCCGGGGAGUGGCCUGCUGGCUGUGUCUGCAUCUCUUGAAAAUUGAUUGACAUUCAGAAUCCAGCUGGAGGAAGGACUCCGGAAAACCACGCGGGUGUACACGGAAACUCCAUUCUUUCGUUUGUGAAUGCCUGAAACAUGCCCAAACAAGCUAGAGUGUGGAACUGGAGCCUCCAAGGAUCUCCCAGGUCACCGGUCUCUUUCCACAAAUGACAGGUUCUGGGAAAGGAAGAGUUAAACGUUUUGACAAUGGUGUCAAAACAAAAUAAAAGGCAAAAGAUGAAAAGUAAGAUAGGAAACUCCACAAAAGACACCCAGAAAAAAAAUCCUCCUUCCUGAUCAUAAGCAUUCACUUAGUGACAAGAAGAAGCCCUGCCUGCGGAUGUCAGCAAAGCAACAUUGGCCUCUGCGUGCUCUCAGAUGUGAGUCCUCUAUACAAAAAAAUAAAAUAUUCCUGAUAUUCACUUGAAGACACCCAAUAUUAACUUCUCAAAGGAGAUGAACCCACAUCUGUACUAGUCCACCUGACCGUCCACUGUUCGCAGUUCCAUGGAGAAAAACGGAACAGGGGAUAUCAGAGCUAUCUCCAGUUGUAGCCUCUUGCUUAUACCAUCUCAACAUUAUUCGCAAGAGCCAAGAUAGGAAAACAACCUGUGCCCAUCAACAGAUGAAUGGAUGAAGAAGACAUGAUGUACAUAUAUAAUGAAGUAUUAUCAAGCCAUGAGAAAGAAGGAAAUCCUGCCAUUUUUAUCAACAUGGGUGGACCUUGAAGGCAUUAUGCUUAGUGAGGUUUCCACUGCAGUCCUGUGUCUUGGAAGAAUGAUGGAAGGUCAAGUUAAAACCACAUGUUAGAGGUGUUCUAGAACAAGAUGGGAGAAUUUGCACCAAGGACCUAAGAGUAAUGAUAUGUGAAUGGACCUCUCAGAAUGGACACAGAGUUUGAAAAUAUUUGUACCUCCUCAACAAGAAUAAACCAUGAGAGCUGAUCAUUGUGGACCUUCCUAAUCCCAGGCAACUGGGAAAGUCAUUAUAGAAAGAUUAUCAUAACUUACUCCACACUAUUCUUGAAUUGGAACUUUUUAAAUGUAUUCAGUCCUCUUAAAUGUGUUAU